AGCGAACGCUGGCGGCAGGCCUAACACAUGCAAGUCGAACGAACCCUUCGGGGUUAGUGGCGGACGGGUGAGUAACACGUGGGAACGUGCCUUUAGGUUCGGAAUAACUCAGGGAAACUUGUGCUAAUACCGAAUGUGCCCUUCGGGGGAAAGAUUUAUCGCCUUUAGAGCGGCCCGCGUCUGAUUAGCUAGUUGGUGAGGUAAAGGCUCACCAAGGCUACGAUCAGUAGCUGGUCUGAGAGGAUGACCAGCCACAUUGGGACUGAGACACGGCCCAAACUCCUACGGGAGGCAGCAGUGGGGAAUCUUGCGCAAUGGGCGAAAGCCUGACGCAGCCAUGCCGCGUGGAUGAUGAAGGUCUUAGGAUUGUAAAAUCCUUUCACCGGUGAAGAUAAUGACUGUAGCCGGAGAAGAAGCCCCGGCUAACUUCGUGCCAGCCGCCGCUGUAAAAC
rnacentral:rRNA from 1 species